GCGGGCGUAGUUCAGCCUGGUUAGAACGCCGGCCUGUCACGCCGGAGGUCGCCGGUUCAAAUCCGGUCGCCCGCG
rnacentral:tRNA from 1 species